UGGUGUUGCCCUCCAAGUCCCUCCUUGACACUUAGGCAUCCAAUACCCUUCUGAGCUCUGGAGGUGUAGGGAAAAUCCUCCCUCUGUAAAUACGCCCUGUGAUGAAGCACUAAAUAAAACAUUUAGGCAAGGACAUUUCUAAAGAUCUUUCCACUCCAGAAAUAUUUUCAGCAACCCUUCCGAGGCUGCACCAAGAUGCCUAUAAAAAGCCUCUGCAUUCCCUUAAGCGCUCUUAAAGAAGCCCCGGGAAGCAUGGACUACGAUAGGGGUCAGAGCCCCAGCUGCUGAAGAUGCCAACUUGGCCGCGUCUCCUGCCCUCCCGCUGGCAGGCCUCUGCCCACGCUCCUUAAGGGAAUUGGCCGGGCUCCUGACUCGUCUCGCCUGCAUGUCUGCUAGUUAUCGAACAAAGGCUGGGAUUAUUUCCAUGCCCAGUUUCCCAGCUGCUCACAAGCAGGGAGCCAAGAAAUCAGCUGAACCAGCAGGGAAGACGGAGCCGAGAAGCCCUCUAGCAAGACCUGGCCACACCUGAGCUACUAUGUCUGCGCACCUGUCAUGUGAAAGCCAGUGAGCCGUUCAGGAAACACCCAGCGCGACCUGUUUAACGCUGACCCCAGAAGACAGGAUCUCAAGAAGACUGCAGCAGGCAUGAGCGUGGGAGAAAAGGCAAGGCCCUCGCAGGGCCAGGAAUCAGAAGCCAGGAAGCCUGUGCUGCCUCCCGAAGCCCCUCCCUUGCCCUUCCUCUGCUCCACUUAUUUUCCCCCAGACUUCCGGGAUGGCUUCCAGAUACUCACCUAUGCACUUGACAUCAUAAGCUGCUUAAUGUGCGGGCCAGAGCAUUAGUUCCUGGGGCCAAAGGUGGUCCCUUAUUUUCACACAUUGUUGGAGUGAUGAAAGAAAGGUACAAAGAAACCAUUAGAAGUCAGUGGCAGGAGCUCUUUGGGGACAGAAAGUUUCAAUUUGGUCCACACAGCUUGGAUUUCUCCAAACAGCCUCAAAUUCAAUUAAAAGUUUUGUGUAUACACACACACGCACACACACACACAUCCUGCCUGGAGGACUGAUGUCAUCAAACAACAAUCUCAUACCACAGUGUGGUGGAUUGACAACUGGUGGGCAACUUGGGACACCCUGUUGAAUUGAAUCAGUGUGGUGCUGGGUGUGGAGGGCCCACCUGAGGGUUGUUGGCAACAACAUAAUAAAGAGAACCGAAGAGGAAGAGGUUGAGCUGUUGGUUUCCUGGAGGAGCUCAUCGUGCUGGCUUUCCUGAUAUGAACUCGGCUGUUCUCGGAGGAGGAGGAGGAGCUUGGGACCUCGCUGCUGCUGCUGAUGGCUGUGGCACUUUUCAGGGGAGCUCUGGUUCUUACUUUGCGUGUCACUUCCUGGCUCCAGUGCAGAUCCCUCAGCCUGGUGGAACAGAUCCUUCAUCCUGCUGGCACAGACUUUCUAGCUUCCACCACUGACCUUUGGGCCUUCCCAGAGCAGAUCUGUGAAAUAGGCCUGCAUGAGACAUUGUCGUAGGCUCUUGGCCUCCAGUUACACCCAUGGAGGACAUUGCCAGAGGCUCUAGGGCUUCAACUGGACUCAUGCAGGACAUUACUGUGGGAUCCAGGCCCUCAGCUGAAUUUCUUUGGCUGUUCAGUGUGUGGACAGGUUUCACGCAGUCUUUGUAUUUGACUCUUUGAGUGACUGCUAUAAAAUAAUCCUAUA
ensembl:lincRNA